UCGUGUGUAUUUAUCAUUCUCUGUGUAACGUCGGCCUCUGUUUUAUUUUCAGUUUAGUUGAAUAUUAUUUGAGCAUCUGAUACAGGCUAGGCCUUGUGCCAGAAGCUGGAGAUGGCAACAUGUAGAAGAUAUCCCUGGAGUUUGGUUCCCAGCCUGGCAGGAAAGACAGACAAAGCUAAGAGAUGAGCCAGGAAUAAGUGGGACGAGGCCAGUAAGGAUCGUGAGUAAGUGGGUGAACGCCCAGGGUCACAAAGCGGGUGGGUGACAGGAGUCAAACCCGGGGCGCCAGGCACUGACGUCCAUCCUCUUAGCCUCUGUGACAGUGGAGGAGAACAGGUACUGAGACAUUUGGAAGGGAGGGCGUGGAAGCACCGGGCAGGGCACACGCGCAGACUAUGCAGUCAGGAGUCAGGGACGGCUUUCCUGCUGUUUCCUGCUGAAUAAUUGGGAAUGAACCUUAGUGAAGGUGGGAGAAGCGCUUUGGUGCAGAUGGAAGAGCCUCAGGAAAGGUACUGAGAGGAAAACAUUUCUGGAGGGUCUGCAGUAGAGCACCAGGGAUGGUUUAGCAAAUUAGGAACCCAACUUGCAAUGGCUCUGAUUUCCGCCAAAAACAAUUAGAAACACCGUUAUCAGUGAAGGGGGGUCAGCAAUGGUUUAAACGCCGGGAAGUUAUGUUUUUAUUUUUUUUAAGACCUUCUUCUUCUCCUUCUCCUCCUCCUCCUUCUUCUUCUUCUUCUUCUUCUUCUUCUUCUUCUUCUUCUUCUUCUUUUCUUCUUUCUCUCUUCUUCCUCUUCUUCUUCUUCUUCUUCUUUUCUUCUUUCUCUCUUCUUCCUCUUCUUCUUCUUCUUCUUCUUCUUCUUUUCUUCUUUCUCUCUUCUUCCUCUUCUUCUUCUUCUUCUUCUUCUUCUUUCUUCUUCUUCUUCUUCUUCUUCUUCUUCUUCUUCUUCUUCUUCUUCUUCUUCUUCNNNNNNNNNNNNNNNNNNNNNNNNNNNNNNNNNNNNNNNNNNNNNNNNNNNNNNNNNNNNNNNNNNNNNNNNNNNNNNNUUCUUCUUCUUUCUUCUUCUUUCUUCUUCUUCUUCUUCUUCUUCUUCUUCUUCUUCUUCUUCUUCUUCUUCUUCUUCUUCUUCUUUCUUCUCCUUCUUUCUUCUUUCUUCUUCUUCUUCUUCUUCUUCUUCUUCUUCUUCUUCUUCUUCUUUCUUCUUCCUCUUCUUCCUCUUCUUCUUCUUCUCCUCCUCCUCCUCUUCCUCCUCCUCCUCCUCCUCGUCCUUCUUCUUCUUCCUCUUCUCCUCCUCCUCCUCCUCCUUGUCCUUCUUCUUCUUCUUCUUCUUCCUCUUCUCCUCCUCCUCCUUCUCCUUCUCCUUCUUCUUCUUUCUUUCUUUCUUUCUUUCUUUCUUUCUUUCUUUUCUCCUCCUCCUCCUCCUCCUCCUCCUCCUCCUUCUUCUUCUUCUUCUUCUUCUUCUUCUUCUUCUUCUUCUUCUUCUUCUUCUUUCUUCUUUUCUUCUUCAGUAGACACCAUGCCCAGCAAUGAGUCCAAUGCAAGGCUUGAACUCACAACCCUGAAGUCAAGACUUGAGAUCAAGAAUUGGACACUUAACCGAUUGAGCCCCCCCAGCCCCCCAGAGGCCAUACCUUCACAUGCUCAUUUUGGAAAAUGCAGUGAAGAAGAUGGGUUUGAGGGCCAGUCCGGGAGUGGUCCGGCUCGGGAACCCCUCCGACCCCAACACAGCGGAGACAAAAGCAAGCCCUUCAGUAUCCUGGCGGAUCAAUGCUUCUUGGAGCCUUGCCCUCACAGCGGUGUGUCUCAGGGAGACUGGAGAGCGUCCUGUUCCCUUCACCUCCUGUGUGGGGCGGAUCCCAGAAGCGCCAGCUGGGAGCAGCUUUCUUCGGUUAGUGACCUAGUGACUGCAUUAGAGACGCCGGGGCUGCGGCCGGGGGCGCACCUGCCGGUCCUCCAAAGAGCAUUUCUUUACAUCCGGAGGAGGCUGGCGACAGAUGAGGACCUGAGAAGAAAGAGAAGAAAGAGCAGUCGGAGGAGGGUCUAGGGUUUUAGGCUUCAUAAGGUGACAGGUCACGCUGAGCUCUUUAGCACAACACAAAAAAGUGAACGCCUGCCCCCACCUUGUGGCCGUCUCCGCGUCCCUGCUGGGAUCCGGAUGCUCGCUCUCCCCUGGGCCCAGCUGCGCGGGCGAGUGCCAGCAGGGUGAAGGGCCCUGGGGACACGGUGCCUGGGGAAGGACAGAGUCAGGGUUUCACCUCCGCGACCUUCCCAUCUCCCACUUCAUGAGAAGAGGGGGUGAGGUGCGGGCUGCAAGGACGGCGGAAUCAGGUCAUGCCCUCUCCCACCGACGCUGGCGCAGAGGACACCCCCUGGCAGUGCACGGGGAGGUGGGACACCCGGGCCGGGGGUGCCCGCGAGACUCGGGCCGGGAGGCUCUGGGGCAUCAGGCAGCAGCUGUUUUUGGAGUCUUCAACCAAUAAAGGCACAGCUUCCCCGAGGCUUUUCCUUCUA
ensembl:lncRNA